rnacentral:rRNA from 1 species
UGAGGAAUAUUGGUCAAUGGGCGCAAGCCUGAACCAGCCAAGUAGCGUGCAGGAAGACGGCCCUAUGGGUUGUAAACUGCUUUUAUACGAGAAUAAUUUGAUGCACGUGUGCGUUAUUGCAUGUAUCGUAUGAAUAAGGACCGGCUAAUUCCGUGCCAGCAGCCGCGGUAAU